rnacentral:rRNA from 1 species
CCUACGGGAGGCAGCAGCAAGGAAUCUUGGGCAAUGGGCGAAAGCCUGACCCAGCGACGCCGCGUGAGGGAUGAAGGCCUUCGGGUCGUAAACCUCUUUUAUCGGGGAAGAAGUUCUGACGGUACCCGAUGAAUAAGCCACGGCUAACUACGUGCCAGCAGCCGCGGUAAU